rnacentral:rRNA from 1 species
AUUGAACGCUGGCGGCAGGCCUAACACAUGCAAGUCGAGCGGAUGAAGGGAGCUUGCUCCUGGAUUCAGCGGCGGACGGGUGAGUAAUGCCUAGGAAUCUGCCUGGUAGUGGGGGAUAACGUCCGGAAACGGGCGCUAAUACCGCAUACGUCCUGAGGGAGAAAGUGGGGGAUCUUCGGACCUCACGCUAUCAGAUGAGCCUAGGUCGGAUUAGCUAGUUGGUGGGGUAAAGGCCUACCAAGGCGACGAUCCGUAACUGGUCUGAGAGGAUGAUCAGUCACACUGGAACUAAGACACGGUCCAGACUCCUACGGGAGGCAGCAGUGGGGAAUAUUGGACAAUGGCCGAAAGCCUGAUCCAGCCAUGCCGCGUGUGUGAAGAAGGUCUUCGGAUUGUAAAGCACUUUAAGUUGGGAGGAAGGGCAGUAAGUUAAUACCUUGCUGUUUUGACGUUACCAACAGAAUAAGCACCGGCUAACUUCGUG